rnacentral:rRNA from 1 species
AGAGUUGAUCCUGGCUUAGGAUGAACGCUAGCUACAGGCUUAACACAUGCAAGUCGAGGGGAAACGAUAUUGAAAGCUUGCUUCUUAGGCGUCGACCGGCGAAUGGGUGAGUAACGCGUAUCCAACCUGCCCCUGAGUAAGGGAUAGCCCAUCGAAAGAUGGAUUAAUACCUUAUGGUUUCCUUUGAAGGCAUCGGAUUAGGAAUAAAGAUUUAUCGCUGAGGGAUGGGGAUGCGUCUGAUUAGCUUGUUGGCGGGGUAACGGCCCACCAAGGCGACGAUCAGUAGGGGUUCUGAGAGGAAGGUCCCCCACAUUGGUACUGAGGCACGGACCAAACUCCUACGGGAGGCAGCAGUGAGGAAUAUUGGUCAAUGGGCGCAAGCCUGAACCAGCCAAGUAGCGUGCAAGGACGACUGCCCUAUGGGUUGUAAACUGCUUUUAUACGGGGAUAAAGUCAGAGUCGUGACUCUGUUUGCAGGUACCGUAUGAAUAAGGACCGGCUAAUUCCGUGCCAGCCGCUGC